ACUCUCCAGUUCCCUUUCCCAUUGGAUCUGAACCCUGGUUUCAGUGGUCGUAAAAGGAGGAAUAGUAGUACUGGAGCUGUGUCUGCUAUAUAGCGUGUGGGCUAGUUUCAAACAAUG